AAACUCUGAUCUCUUUUCAAUUGCCGUAUAAAUCUUUCGCCUUCCACUAAAGAUUUCCAAGGAGAGUGGAACUCAAAUGCGACCAAACUGAUUUUUUGUUCGUUUCUUACUAACCAUA
rnacentral:snRNA from 1 species